rnacentral:rRNA from 1 species
GACGAACGCUGGCGGCGUGCCUAAUACAUGCAAGUUGAGCGCUGAAGGUUGGUACUUGUACCAACUGGAUGAGCAGCGAACGGGUGAGUAACGCGUGGGGAAUCUGCCUUUGAGCGGGGGACAACAUUUGGAAACGAAUGCUAAUACCGCAUAAAAACUUUAAACACAAGUUUUAAGUUUGAAAGAUGCAAUUGCAUCACUCAAAGAUGAUCCCGCGUUGUAUUAGCUAGUUGGUGAGGUAAAGGCUCACCAAGGCGAUGAUACAUAGCCGACCUGAGAGGGUGAUCGGCCAAAUUGGGACGGAGACACGGCCCAAACUCCUACGGGAGGCAGCAGUAGGGAAUCUUCGGCAAUGGACGAAAGUCUGACCGAGCAACGCCGCGUGAGUGAAGAAGGUUGUCGGAUCGUAAAACUCGGUUGGUAGAGAAGAAAGUUGGUGAGAGUGGAAAGCUCAUAAAGUGACGGUAACUACCCAGAAAGGGACGGCUAACUACGUG